rnacentral:rRNA from 1 species
UACAGAGGGUGCAAGCGUUGUUCGGAAUUAUUGGGCGUAAAGGGAGUGUAGGCGGCUUGUUAAGUCUUCUGUGAAAUCUACGGGCUUAGCCUGUAAAGUGCAGAGGAAACUGGCGAGCUUGAGUGUCGGAGAGGAUAGGGGAAUACCCGGUGUAGAGGUGAAAUUCGUAGAAAUCGGGUGGAACACCAGUGGCGAAGGCGCCUGUCUGGCUGACAACUGACGCUGAGACUCGAAAGCAUGGGGAGCAAACAGG